rnacentral:rRNA from 1 species
CGGAGGGAAACCGAGUCUUAAUUGGGCGUUAAGUUGCAGGGUAUAGACCCGAAACCCGGUGAUCUAGCCAUGGGCAGGUUGAAGGUUGGGUAACACUAACUGGAGGACCGAACCGACUAAUGUUGAAAAAUUAGCGGAUGACCUGUGGCUGGGGGUGAAAGGCCAAUCAAACCGGGAGAUAGCUGGUUCUCCCCGAAAGCUAUUUAGGUAGCGCCUCGUGAAUUCAUCUCCGGGGGUAGAGCACUGUUUCGGCUAGGGGGCCAUCCCGGCUUACCAACCCGAUGCAAACUGCGAAUACCGGAGAAUGUUAUCACGGGAGACACACGGCGGGUGCUAACGUCCGUCGUGAAGAGGGAAACAACCCAGACCGCCAGCUAAGGUCCCAAAGUCAUGGUUAAGUGGGAAACGAUGUGGGAAGGCCCAGACAGCCAGGAUGUUGGCUUAGAAGCAGCCAUCAUUUAAAGAAAGCGUAAUAGCUCACUGGUCGAGUCGGCCUGCGCGGAAGAUGUAACGGGGCUAAACCAUGCACCGAAGCUGCGGCAGCGAACGUAUCACCCAAGACAACUUUACGGAGUUGACGAUUGACGGAGCGAAGCGACGUCAAAGCGUUCAUUAAAGUCGAGUUGGCUUAGGGAUACGUUCGUUGGGUAGGGGAGCGUUCUGUAAGCCUGUGAAGGUGUGUCGUGAGGCAUGCUGGAGGUAUCAGAAGUGCGAAUGCUGACAUAAGUAACGAUAAAGCGGGUGAAAAGCCCGCUCGCCGGAAGACCAAGGGUUCCUGUCCAACGUUAAUCGGGGCAGGGUGAGUCGACCCCUAAGGCGAGGCCGAAAGGCGUAGUCGAUGGGAAACGGGUUAAUAUUCCCGUACUUGGUGUUACUGCGAAGGGGGGACGGAGAAGGCUAUGUUGGCCGGGCGACGGUUGUCCCGGUUUAAGCGUGUAGGUGUGUGUUCCAGGUAAAUCCGGUUCACUUUAACACUGAGGCGUGACGACGAGGCACUACGGUGCUGAAGCAAC